rnacentral:rRNA from 1 species
AUUGCACGCUGGCGGCAGGCCUAACACAUGCAAGUCGAACGAGUGGCGGACGGGUGAGUAAUGUCUGGGAAACUGCCUUAUGGAGGGGGAUAACUACUGGACACGGUAGCUAAUACCGCAUACCAUCAGAUGUGCCCAGAUGGGAUUAGCUAGUAGUGGGGGUAAGGUCUCACCUAGGCGACGAUCCCGAGCUGGUCUGAGAGGAGGACCCGCCACACUGGAACUGAGACACGGUCCAGACGCCUACGGGAGGCAGCAGUGGGGAAUAUUGCACAAUGGGCGCAAGCCUGAUGCAGCCAUGCCGCGUGUGUGAAGAAGGCCUUCGGGUUGUAAAGCACUUUCAGCGAGGAGGCGUUACUCGCAGAAGAAGCACCGGCUAACUCCGUGCCAGCAGCCGCGGUAAUAC